rnacentral:rRNA from 1 species
UACAGAGGGUGCAAGCGUUGUUCGGAAUUACUGGGCGUAAAGGGCGCGUAGGCGGCCUGCUAAGUCGAACGUGAAAUCCCUGGGCUCAACCCAGGAACUGCGUCCGAUACUGGUUGGCUUGAAUCCGGGAGAGGGAUGUGGAAUUCCAGGUGUAGCGGUGAAAUGCGUAGAUAUCUGGAGGAACACCGGUGGCGAAGGCGGCAUCCUGGACCGGCAUUGACGCUGAGGAGCGAAAGCCAGGGGAGCAAACGGG